AGUGAACGCUGGCGGUAGGCCUAACACAUGCAAGUCGAACGGCAGCACAGGAGAGCUUGCUCUCUGGGUGGCGAGUGGCGGACGGGUGAGGAAUGCAUCGGAAUCUACUCUUUCGUGGGGGAUAACGUAGGGAAACUUACGCUAACACCGCAUACGACCUACGGGUGAAAGCCGGGGACCUUCGGGCCUGGCGCGAAUGAAUGAGCCGAUGCCCGAUUAGCUAGUUGGCGGGGUAAGAGCCCACCAAGGCGACGAUCGGUAGCUGGUCUGAGAGGAGGAUCAGACACACUGGAACUGAGACACGGUCCAGACUCCUACGGGAGGCAGCAGUGGGGAAUAUUGGACAAUGGGCGCAAGCCUGAUCCAGCCAUACCGCGUGGGUGAAGAAGGCCUUCGGGUUGUAAAGCCCUUUUGUUGGGAAAGAAAAGCAAUCGGUUAAUACCCGGUUGUUCUGACGGUACCCAAAGAAUAAGCACCGGCUAACUUCGUGCCAGCAGCCGCGGUAAGAC
rnacentral:rRNA from 1 species